UGACAAGUAAGAUGACAUUUGAAUUUUAUUUAAGCAAUACAAUCUAAUAAGAUUAAAAAAGCCCGAUCAUAAUUUAAUUUAAUUAAUAUUUUUAAUACUGACGGCGCAUCGCGCGGGGACUACUAGUUAUUCUAAAGGAUUGAAUUUUGUGUUCGCCACUAGCCCUCGGAGAUUUCUCGGUUAUCAAAUUUAAAAAUAAAAAAAUAAAGAACGAAUUUUCUUCUUCUGUUGAGAUUUCUUUUCUUUCAUUUUUCCCCCUUCAGUAGUUGCUUAUGUUUACCUUUAUAUACAGACCAGAUGAAAAUUAGAUUUAUAUAUAUAUAGAAAAAGCCAGAUUUCUACUUCGUUUCUAGCUAUUUUAUACUGGAUAUUGUGAGCAUGGCUGGCUCCAGCUGCAAUCUGAUUAAUUGUUUUAGAGAAGACAAGAUUUCCAAUGAACACUGUCACAGUAUUGCUUGAUACUCUUGAACUGCAACAUUUACAUACAUAAUAUACUAUGUUAUGUACUUGGAAAAAAGAAUCAGGAUCCAUGACAUCUGAGGUGAAGUCAUUCAAUGAUCUUGAAUGUUUAGAACUGUAAGGUCACAUUUCCAUCUUCAGGUCAUUUCCAGCUUCAACAAAACCUGCACAACGAUCAAUAGUUUUUUGCUUCAACACUAGCACAGAAGCCUAAUUUCUAUUGUUCUGGUGUUAAACUAAAGGUUAGUGCCGCGGUAAGUGGUACCUUUUCAGAUAAGUAUUGUAGUUGAGAUAGAUAGGGGUCAUAGGCCCUCCUAUGAGAGACCAGGGUUCAAAUUUCAGUGGAGGUAGAAAGAACACUGAGUUUGGGGUAGUCAAUACUCGGUGAACUAGUUGAGGUGCACGCUACGUGGCCAAGAGACUACUAUUGUCAAAAAAAGAAAAAAGGAAAGACAGGGCCCUCCCAGAACUCGUAAGUCUUAAUAAUGUAGUUGAAUAAUAACUGUUCAUUUGUGUUGGAUGGUUACAUCUUGCCUAUCAACAACUACUUUGGGAAUUUUUUGCCGUGCAAAAGUAACAUAGUUUUGAUCAUUUAAGGUGGAAGACAGAAAAAAAGGGCAGAUACCUAAUCAGCAACCUUUUUCAACAGGAGUAUAAAUCAAAUAGGACCCAACUAUUCUCAAAAAGGGGAAGAUACCUAAUCAGCAACCUUUUUCAACAGGAGUAUGAAUCAAAUAGGACCCAACUAUUCUCAAAAGCAAUAUGAUAGGUUCUGAGUCUCUAAGAUGGAAAGUAUCACUAUUAGAGAUAAUAUUGAAGAUCAUGAUAGAAUCCUAGAUAAAUAUAAAUUAGUUAGCUC
rnacentral:lncRNA from 1 species